AUUGAACGCUGGCGGCAGGCCUAACACAUGCAAGUCGAGCGAGCGGCGGACGGGUGAGUAAUGUAUGGGGAUCUGACUGAUGGCGGGGGAUAACUCCUGGAAACGGUGGCUAAUACCGCAUACCAUCAGAGGACCCCAUAGUGGAUGAGCUUGUAGGUGAGGUAAAGGCUCACCUAGAGGACGAUCCCUAGCUGGUCUGAGAGGAUGAUCAGCCACACUGGGACUGAGACACGGCCCAGACUCCGACGGGAGGCAGCAGUGGGGAAUAUUGCACAAUGGGCGCAAGCCUGAUGCAGCCAUGCCGCGUGUAUGAAGAAGGCCUUCGGAUUGUAAAGCACUUUAAGUUGGGAGGCGUUACCAACAGAAUAAGCACCGGCUAACUUCGUGCCAGCAGCCGCGGUAAUAC
rnacentral:rRNA from 1 species